GCCGAGGUAGCUCAGUUGGUAGAGCAGUGGACUGAAAAUCCUCGUGUCGGCAGUUCGAUUCUGCCCCUCGGCACCA
rnacentral:tRNA from 1 species